rnacentral:rRNA from 1 species
ACGAACGCUGGCGGCGUGCUUAACCCAUGCAAGUCGAACGGAAAGGCCCUGCUUGCAGGGUCCUCGAGUGGCGAACGGGUGAGUAACACGUGGGUGAUCUGCCCUGCACUUCGGGAUAAGCCUGGGAAACUGGGUCUAAUACCGGAUAGGAGCCAUUUUUAGUGUGAUGGUUGGAAAGUUUUUUUCGGUGUAGGAUGAGCUCGCGGCCUAUCAGCUUGUUGGUGGGGUAAUGGCCUACCAAGGCGGCGACGGGUAGCCGGCCUGAGAGGGUGGACGGCCACAGUGGGACUGAGAGACGGCCCAGACUCCGACGGGAGGCAGCAGUGGGGAAUAUUGCACAAUGGGCGCAAGCCUGAUGCAGCGACGCCGCGGGGGGGAUGACGGCCUUCGGGUUGUAAACUCCUUUCGCUAGGGACGAAGCUUUUUGUGACGGUACCUAGAUAAGAAGCACCGGCUAACUACGUG